CACGCAAGGUGCAACGUGGUUCUCUGGUGUCCCCAUGUUAUCUAUUUAUUUCCCAAACACUCCUUUCUUCUUCUUCUUCUUCCCUGCUAUUGCAAAACUCUUUGUGUCUCAAACUACCAAAUGGCGAUGAUUUCAUUGGCAAAUGGUUUGAAAACUCUGUUCAGUGUGCUGGGAACUCUCAUGCUUGCUGUCCUUCUUUACACACUCAUAACUGAUGGUUUCCCCUUUCGCAAAGACCUUCUCACUCCGUGGAUGGCAGCAACUUUGAUUGAUUUCUAUAUCAACGUUACAAUUUUGAGUGCCUGGGUUGUUUACAAGGAGGCAAAUUGGGUCAGCUCAAUUCUAUGGAUAGUUUUACUUAUCUCCCUUGGAAGCAUUGCUACAUCCGCCUAUAUUGUUGUGCAAUUUUUGAAGCUGUCAUCUCAAGAAUCUUCACAGGAUCCUAUGUAUUAUGUUCUAUUGCGACAUCCACACAAGAGUGGCACAGAUUCAAAAACAAAUUGUUCUAUUGUUGCGACUCUACGAAUCCUUUUCAGCAUUUUGGGUGUUGUCAUGCUUGGAACCUUGGUAUACACUCUUGUCACUGAUGGUUCUCCUUUCCGUACAGAACUAUUGACUCCGUGGAUGGAAGCAACACUAGUUGACUUCUACAUCAACGUUGCAGCUCUAUCAGUCUGGGUUGCCUACAAAGAAUCUAGUUGGAUUUACGCGGUCUUUUGGGUGAUUCUAUUGAUAUGUUUUGGCAGCAUUACUAGUUGCGUCUAUGUAGUAUUGCAGCUGUUCCAGAUAUCUUGCCAAGAUCCUGCUUACCUUAUUUUAGUGCGUCAUAGUGACAGGCAAGUAUACAUAAUGCACAACACUUUUUUCCCCCAUUUUUAUAAUUUACAUUCGAGACUGAAAUAGGCACGAAACAACAUUUUUUCUGGACCGGCAGAAUCCUUUAACUGUCGACUUUGUGUUCGGUCUUAAUGCCGUUGUCUUAAUAAGAAUCCUUUGCAACUAAACAGAUAAAUGUUCUCUCUUACUUUUAUUAAUUUAUUUAGAAACGGCGAUGAUUAUUGAUGGUAGGGCAGAAAACAAAUAUAAAGGGCUUUCUGAUGAGGCGACAUAGCAAUGAUGUUGAUGAACAAAAGGCGCGUUGUACAAAUCUACAAGUGGAAGUAAAAAGGGAUCAGAUAAACCCUGAACAGUAUUGUAACCACAGAAGACAGAAAAUUAACAUACCGAAGAAAUUGAUAUCUGGAGAUUGUGUGUGCAAACACUAGCUGGUAGCUCGACAAUGUCAAUGUCUCUAGAAAUAAAUGAAACACAGUUAUACCCCUAGUGUAUUUGUUGAUUUCUGCUUCAUUGUGAAUGCUGUUUUUUAUCCUGUAAUUGAAUUUAAUCAUAACAUUUAAUCUUCAGAAUCAGAGAGAAUCGUUAAAUCUUAA